rnacentral:rRNA from 1 species
GACGAACGCUGGCGGCGUGCUUAACACAUGCAAGUCGAACGGAAAGGCCCUGCUUUUGUGGGGUGCUCGAGUGGCGAACGGGUGAGUAACACGUGAGUAACCUGCCCUUGACUUUGGGAUAACUUCAGGAAACUGGGGCUAAUACCGGAUAGGAGCUCCUGCUGCAUGGUGGGGGUUGGAAAGUUUCGGCGGUUGGGGAUGGACUCGCGGCUUAUCAGCUUGUUGGUGGGGUAGUGGCUUACCAAGGCUUUGACGGGUAGCCGGCCUGAGAGGGUGACCGGCCACAUUGGGACUGAGAUACGGCCCAGACUCCUACGGGAGGCAGCAGUGGAGAAUAUUGCACAAUGGGCGGAAGCCUGAUGCAGCAACGCCGCGUGCGGGAUGACGGCCUUCGGGUUGUAAACCGCUUUCGCCUGGGACGAAGCGUGAGUGACGGUAAUGGGUAAAGAAGCACCGGCUAACUACG